ensembl:lncRNA
CAUACUUGGGAUGGUCAAGGAAUUUUAUUUCUUUUUAUUUUUGGGCAAAUAGUUCUGCCAGGAGAUGCCAAAGGUGGGACAUGUGAUGAAAUCCUGGUGUUCAACUGUUGGCCAUCCGGUGGUGAGUGGGAAGAGGCCCAUGGGAGGGUCCUCAGCCUGCUUUCUGCACAAGUUCCAGCAUAGCUUUCAUUACACACAGACCUGUACCAUGGCACAGAAUUAUGCACAGGAAGCGAGUGGGCAUAAAAAUGACUCCAGGAAAAGCUUGAUACCUGGCAAAAAGUAAGAAGAGAUGGACUCCAUCCUUUGUUCCACAGGUGAGGUAAAGACACGAAGGAGAAGAGACUCGCCUGUGGCCACAUGCACUAUACUUCUAGAGACUGGAUCUUAAGAGUACCCCGAAAGGCCCUGUGUUAAAAGCCUGAUCCCAGAGCCUGGCAGAGGCAGAGCGGGAAGCAGGGAAGGAGUCGGCCUUUCCUGCCAGCUGAGCUGUGCCUGAGACUCCUGGGCAGCGGAGGAACAAAGCUGGGAUCCAGCAAUAUCUUGCUGUGGCUGCUUCUGGCUCCUCCCUUGGCUGGAGGAGCUCAGGUGCACAGGUUGUGGCCUUCAGGUGGGUAGGCCUGUACCCCUGCCCUCACCAGACCCCAACACAGGAGCAGCCUGGAGCACACUGCAGAGGUGCCAAGGAAGUGAGAUUCCAGCAACUGGCUGUUCAACCCCAGCUGAAACUUUCCCCUGGUCAGGCUCCAC